GCUUACACAUGCAAGUCGAGGGGAAACGACGGGGAAGCUUGCUUCCCCGGGCGUCGACCGGCGCACGGGUGAGUAACGCGUAUCCAACCUGCCUCUGACUGAGGGAUAACCCGUCGAAAGUCGGCCUAAUACCUCAUGGUAUCGUCUGCGGGCAUCCAACGACGAUUAAAGAUUUCAUCGGUCAGGGAUGGGGAUGCGUCUGAUUAGCUUGUUGGCGGGGUAACGGCCCACCAAGGCUACGAUCAGUAGGGGUUCUGAGAGGAAGGUCCCCCACAUUGGAACUGAGACACGGUCCAAACUCCUACGGGAGGCAGCAGUGAGGAAUAUUGGUCAAUGGGCGAGAGCCUGAACCAGCCAAGUAGCGUGCAGGAAGACGGCCCUAUGGGUUGUAAACUGCUUCUAUGCGGGGAUAAAGUGAGGGACGUGUCCCUCAUUGCAGGUACCGCAUGAAUAAGGACCGGCUAAUUCCGUGCCAGCAGCCGCGGUAAUACGGAAGGUCCUGGCGUUAUCCGGAUUUAUUGGGUUUAAAGGGAGCGUAGGCCGUGGAUUAAGCGUGUUGUGAAAUGCAGGUGCUCAACGUCUGCACUGCAGCGCGAACUGGUCCACUUGAGUGUGCGCAACGCAGGCGGAAUUCGUCGUGUAGCGGUGAAAUGCUUAGAUAUGACGAAGAACUCCGAUUGCGAAGGCAGCUUGCGGGAGCACAACUGACGCUGAAGCUCGAAAGUGCGGGUAUCGAACAGGAUUAGAUACCCUGGUAGUCCGCACGGUAAACGAUGGAUGCCCGUUGUCAGGCUGUUUCAGCCUGGUGACCAAGCGAAAGCAUUAAGCAUCCCACCUGGGGAGUACGCCGGCAACGGUGAAACUCAAAGGAAUUGACGGGGGCCCGCACAAGCGGAGGAACAUGUGGUUUAAUUCGAUGAUACCCGAGGAACC
rnacentral:rRNA from 1 species